rnacentral:rRNA from 1 species
CGUAGGUGGCAAGCGUUACUCGGAAUCACUAGGCGUAAAGCGCAGGUAGGAGGUUUGGUAAGUCUGUUGUGAAAGCUCCCGGCUCAACUGGGAGAGGUCAACGGAAACUACUAGGCUAGAGUGUGGUAGAGGAAGAUGGAAUUCCCGGUGUAGCGGUGAAAUGCGUAGAUAUCGGGAGGAAUACCUAUGGCGAAAGCAGUCUUCUGGACCAUCACUGACUCUGAUCUGCGAAAGCUAGGGGAGCAAACAGGAUUAGAUACCCUGGUAGUCCUAGCCCUAAACGAUGCUCAUUAGGUGUGGGAGGUAUCGACCCCUUCCGCGCCGUAGCUAACGCAUUAAAUGAGCCGCCUGGGGAGUACGGCCGCAAGGUUG